rnacentral:lncRNA from 12 species
GUGAGCCCCUGCAAGGCUGGGGCCCUGGCAGACAGAAGCCCGGGGCGGCGGAGCAGUGGCAUCGCAGGAGGAGCAUCGCAGAGAGACACGAGGGCUCUGAGCUUGGGGACGAGACAGUUAAAGCCUCCCCGUGCGAGCCAGUUAUAUCACACAGCGCCGGUGCCAGGUCAGCAGUCUGGCUGGAGCUCGGACGUGGCUGGCUGUGCCAGGCAGUGCCAGGCGCCCCGGGGAGCCCUGAAGAGGAUUCCCCAAAGGGGAUUCGUUCUGCAGCCCGGAGGAUGCUUUGACGACUGCCUCCCGCGAGGAAACAGGGGCUGCAUGGCUGCUUCACAGACAAGCCUGUUGGAGCACGGACCUCCCCGGCUGGGAGCCCGCUGCUGUGACAAAGGCAGCCCGGCUGGCUGAGAACCUGCACAGCUCUGCAGCAUCUGCAUCACCUCUGCAGCAUCUGCAUCACCUCUGCAGCAUCUGCAGUGCCCCUAGAGUACCUGCACCACCUCUGCAGCAUCUGCACCAGCUCUGCAGCAUCUGCACCACUUCUGCAGUAUGUGCACCCUCUGUACAGCAUCCACACCGCCUAUGCAGCAUCUACACCAGCUCUGCAGUAUCUGCGCCACCUCUGAGCAUCUGUAGUUGUCCCUACAGCAUCUGCCCACCUCUGCAGCAUCUGCACCAUCUGUACAGUAGCCUCAUCAUCUCUGUCCUACUGUGUGUGGUUUCUGAGACCCGGUAUCCUCCUGGCAACUUGUCCAACCUUUAGGAAGGAAAUGCCGCACACCCUGGAAACCUACGUAGGACUUCUGCUGACGUCCAGCUAGUCCCCUCUGAGCUGUAUCCAAUGACUUCGUCUUGAUCCAUGCUCCAAUUCAGAAAGUUCCUCAUUAUGGAAAAGCAAACCCUAAAGCAGGGUCGGCCACCUGCAGCCCACGGGCCCACUUCACCCCCUGCUUAUCUCUGUAACUCCAGUCUCCCUGGAAUACACCCACACCCAUUUAUUUAGUGCCAUCCCUUGUGCAGAUGCAACAAGUGCGUGUAUGCCGCUGUCACUAUUAUUUUUAAAGAGAUAUGCUCUGUAUCCUGCCUGAUGCUUCACUCAGCUUUUGCUCCUGGAUGGCAGGGUAGAUGCUGUUAGAAAUAAUGGAGCGGGACAUGGGAGGAUGGAGGGUUAAAGCAGAUGGUGUAAGUGGCUGGGGGACGCUGGGCACAGAGACCGCCUCUGUACGCCUGGUGCAGGGCUGUGAGCUGCGGAGGCUGGCUGCCAUGCCUCACUGUGCUCACACAAUUGUCAGAUUUAUAGGAAAAUGUUCAAAGGGCAAAACUAGAACAGUGUCAGGAGUCUGAGACUCAAGAACGAAUGAGUCAGCGUGGGGCUGCGAACUGCCCGGAAAGCUGAGCGUCUGUAUUGUACAGUUUUAACAAAUUUGUAUGGAAAUCCUUUUCAUUUUAUUAUAUCACUUUCUUCCUUCUUCAGAAGAGCAAACAUCAUAAAUUGUCAUAUAGCUUGGGGGUAUUUUCCGGGUUCUGCAGGGAGGUUUUCUGCUAUUCCAAAUAUCCCAAGGCGACCACAUCUUUUGAAUUUACGU